UUCCUGGUGAUACAGUGGCUAGGACUUUGUGCUAUCACUACUGAGAGCCCAGGUUUGAUUCCUGGUCAUGGAACUA
rnacentral:tRNA from 1 species